rnacentral:rRNA from 1 species
UCCGUAGGUGGAUAAUUAAGUCAGAGGUGAAAUCCUGCAGCUCAACUGUAGAAUUGCCUUUGAUACUGGUUAUCUUGAGUCAUUAUGAAGUGGUUAGAAUGUGUAGUGUAGCGGUGAAAUGCAUAGAUAUUACACAGAAUACCGAUUGCGAAGGCAGAUCACUAAUAAUGUACUGACACUGAGGGACGAAAGCGUGGGGAGUGAACAGGAUUAGAUACCCUGGUAGUCC